rnacentral:lncRNA from 1 species
UUAUACUGGAUUAUCUUUUGAACAAGUCGCCACAUGGACCUAUGUACUCAGGGCGAGUCAAUCCGUCAUGUGGACCCUGAACUUGCCUUGGUUAAAACAUAAAAGGUACCGGCCAGAGUCACACAUGGGAAAUAGAGAAACCAUUGGUUCAUUGAACCUGCUUCACGGAAGCUUGACUUGCGCCUGAUCAGCCAGUCUAAAACAACAAGUCUUUUUGCAAAGGCUUUCUAAGGGUAACACUAGAGUUUUGCAAACUCGUCUUAUCCUAUCGUAACUCACUGAGUCGAUAAAAAAUUAUUUCUUGAUGGCAAGACCACAAGGUUUCCUAAUAUCUUUGAG